rnacentral:rRNA from 1 species
UACGAAGGGGGCUAGCGUUGCUCGGAAUCACUGGGCGUAAAGCGCACGUAGGCGGAUUGCUAAGUCAGGGGUGAAAUCCUGGAGCUCAACUCCAGAACUGCCUUUGAUACUGGCAAUCUCGAGUCCGGGAGAGGUGAGUGGAACUGCGAGUGUAGAGGUGAAAUUCGUAGAUAUUCGCAAGAACACCAGUGGCGAAGGCGGCUCACUGGCGCGGUACUGACGCUGAGGUGCGAAAGCGUGGGGAGCAAACAGG